rnacentral:tRNA from 2 species
GCUCCCGUAGUGUAGUCCGGCCAAUCAUCAAGCCCUCUCGAGGCUUAGACUCGGGUUCGAAUCCCGACGGGAGCA